GGACCCUUAGCUCAGCUGGUUAGAGCACCUGACUCAUAAUCAGGGGGUCGCUGGUUCGAGCCCAGCAGGGUCCA
rnacentral:tRNA from 2 species